GUUAUCGUUUAUUUGAUAGUACCUUACUACAUGGAUAACCGUGGUAAUUCUAGAGCUAAUACAUGCUAAAAACCUCGACUUCGGAAGGGGUGUAUUUAUUAGAUAAAAAACCAAUGCCCUUCGGGGCUCCUUGGUGAAUCAUAAUAACUUAACGAAUCGCAUGGCCUUGCGCCGGCGAUGGUUCAUUCAAAUUUCUGCCCUAUCAACUUUCGAUGGUAGGAUAGUGGCCUACCAUGGUACCAACGGGUAACGGGGAAUUAGGGUUCGACUCCGGAGAGGGAGCCUGAGAAACGGCCACCACAUCCAAGGAAGGCAGCAGGCGCGCAAAUUACCCAAUCCCGACACGGGGAGGUAGUGACAAUAAAUACUGAUACAGGGCUCUUUUGGGUCUUGUAAUUGGAAUGAGUACAAUUUAAAUCCCUUAACGAGGAACAAUUGGAGGGCAAGUCUGGUGCCAGCAGCCGCGGUAAUUCCAGCUCCAAUAGCGUAUAUUAAAGUUGUUGCAGUUAAAAAGCUCGUAGUUGAACCUUGG
rnacentral:rRNA from 1 species